rnacentral:rRNA from 1 species
AGCGUAGGCGGACUUUUAAGUGAGAUGUGAAAUACUCGGGCUUAACCUGAGUGCUGCAUUUCAAACUGGAAGUCUAGAGUGCAGGAGAGGAGAAGGGAAUUCCUAGUGUAGCGGUGAAAUGCGUAGAGAUUAGGAAGAACACCAGUGGCGAAGGCGCUUCUCUGGACUGUAACUGACGCUGAGGCUGAAAGCGUGGGGGAGCAAACA